rnacentral:rRNA from 1 species
GACGUAGGGGGCGAGCGUUGUCCGGAAUUAUUGGGCGUAAAGCGCGUGUAGGCGGGAUGGCAAGUCGGGUGUGAAAGCCCUCAGCUCAACUGAGGAAGUGCGCCCGAAACUACUGUUCUUGAGUACUGGAGAGGGUGGCGGAAUUCCCGGUGUAGAGGUGAAAUUCGUAGAUAUCGGGAGGAACACCAGUGGCGAAGGCGGCCACCUGGCCAGAUACUGACGCUGAGACGCGAAAGCGUGGGGAGCAAACAGG